ensembl:lncRNA
ACCAUUCCAGCAGAGGAAAGAGAGGGCCAUGCCUGCUUUCCUCCAGUCAAGAUUCAUCCCCUGGGGAUGGGCCUACUUUCUGUGAGCCCAUUUCAUCAGGAGACCAGGACAGCUGACAUUUUAUGUAUUCGUAUUUAUUGUAUUCGGCAUAGAAGAAACAGCUGCUGGGGAAAAGAGCAGCAGUGUUUACAACGGGAGGCAAGAAGUUCAAGCACCAGAAGCCGAAGGACAAAACAGACUGUCCAGUGGAAAAUACAGACAGGAGGGUCGCGGUGCCAGCAAGUGGGGCUGACGUCUCCAAGGAUGAAUUCCGAGGAUUCAGUAUCGUUUGGCCUCGCUGUGCCAGUGGCACACAGACUCACCCGCACAGGAGUGCUGGGAUCCCUCUAGGGAGCACACACUCGCCUGACCAGAUGGGCCGCCCGUUUCCUCUGCUGCCGGACCCUCUGCCCAUCCCCCUGCACACCGCCUCUCUUUCGCGGACCGCCUGUCCUCCAUCCGCUAUCAGACGCUAUCGGAAGCUGAGAGACCAACGCCGCUGCGGUGUCGCAGGGAGAGCCGAGCGGAGAGGCGAGAUCGCGGGCUAUUGCCGCUCCUGCUUCUCCUCGCCGCCUCUUCGGCCGCCCUUCUGGCCACCGGCGCCCAUUCUUCCUGACCCGGGCCUCUGGCCCAUACCGUGUACUCCACGUUCAUGUUCGAGGCCACUUUGGCUCCGCUAGGUGGGCUUGCGAGUCCGCGCACCCGCACGCGGCGCCUGGCGCACCCGCUUCGGCGGACGGAGCUGGCCCGACUCCUCGCCUUGGUGUUCCCCUCCCGCAGCAGGAGAUCGGGGGCGCCGAGAACCGGAACGCAGGGGACCCUCAGGCCUCCGGGGCCCCACACCGGCUCCGCACACGCCAGCGUAGCGCCCCCGAAACGCGCCUGGCCUCCAGCUCAGCGCUGAGCAGAGGGCGGCCUCGAACCCGGACUUGGACACUUGUAAACCUUGGAGCAGCAUCGCACGUCGUGUUCCACGAACGACUGUUGCUGACUCAUAGGGAGAUUUCCCGGGAUUCCUGCCCAGGGCCAGCAAACCUCUCAGUGGGCUCCCCGCAGAGUCCAGGGCAGCCACAGACCAGGGGUCACAGGCUCUUGUGUGGUCACCCACCUAGGGACCUUAAAACCAAAGUCCCCUUGGACUCCAGCCCCUUGGAGCUGGCCCGACUCCUCGCCUUGGUGUAUUCCUGUAUCUUUAAGAAUUUUCCACAAUUUGUAGUGAUUCACACAGUCAAAGGCUUUGGCGUAGUCUAUAAAGCAGAAGUAGAUGUUUUUCUGUAACUCUCUUGCUUUUUCUAUGAUCCAACUGAUGUCAGCAAUUUGAUCUCUGGUUCCUCUGCCAUUUGUAAAUCCAACUUGAACAUCUGAAAGUUCUCGGUUCGUGUACUAUUGAAGCCUGGCUUGGAGAAUUUUGAGUAUUACUUUGCCAGUGUGUGCUGCUGCUGCUAAGUCACUUCAGUCGUGUCCGACUCUGUGUGACCCCAUAGACAGCAGCCACCAGGCUCCCCUGUCCCUGGGAUUCUCCAGGCAAGAAC